rnacentral:rRNA from 1 species
GACGAACGCUGGCGGCGUGCUUAACACGUGCAAGUCGAACGGUGAAGCGCCUUCCUUUUUGGUGGGUGUGGAUGAGUGGCGAACGGGUGAGUAACACGUGAGUAACCUGCCCCCUUCUUCUGGAUAACCGCAUGAAAGUGUGGCUAAUACGGGAUAUUCUGGGUCUGUCGCAUGAUGGGUCUGGGAAAGAUAUUGUUUCGGUGGGGGAUGGGCUCGCGGCCUAUCAGCUUGUUGGUGGGGUGAUGGCCUACCAAGGCGGUGACGGGUAGCCGGCCUGAGAGGGUGGACGGUCACACUGGGACUGAGACACGGCGCAGACUCCUACGGGAGGCAGCAGUGGGGAAUAUUGCACAAUGGGCGCAAGCCUGAUGCAGCGACGCCGCGUGAGGGAUGGAGGCCUGCGGGUUGUGAACCUCUUUCGCCAGUGAAGCAGGCCUGCCUCGUUUGUGGGUGGGUUGACGGUAGCUGGAUAAGAAGCGCCGGCUAACUACGUG